GAAGCGUUAGUUCAGCAGGAAGAAUGCCGCCCUGUCACGGCGGAGGCCGCAGGUUCGAGUCCUGCACGCUUCC
rnacentral:tRNA from 1 species